AACUUGAGAGUUUGAUCCUGGCUCAGAACGAACGCUGGCGGCAGGCCUAACACAUGCAAGUCGAGCGCCCCGCAAGGGGAGCGGCGGACGGGUGAGUAACACGUGGGAAUUUUCCUCAAGGUACGGAACAACUCAGGGAAACUUGGGCUAAUACCGUAUGAUGUCUAGCGACCAAAGAUUUAUCGCCUUGGGAUAAGCCCGCGUCAGAUUAGGUAGUUGGUGAGGUAACGGCUCACCAAGCCUGUGAUCUGUAGCUGGUCUGAGAGGACGAUCAGCCACAUUGGGACUGAGACACGGCCCAAACUCCUACGGGAGGCAGCAGUGGGGAAUCUUGCGCAAUGGGCGAAAGCCUGACGCAGCC
rnacentral:rRNA from 1 species